GAUGAACGCUGGCGGCGUGCCUAAUACAUGCAAGUCGAGCGAGCGGACGAGAAGCUUGCUUCUCUGAUGUUAGCGGCGGACGGGUGAGUAACACGUGGAUAACCUACCUAUAAGACUGGGAUAACUUCGGGAAACCGGAGCUAAUACCGGAUAAUAUUUUGAACCGCAUGGUUCAAAAGUGAAAGACGGUCUUGCUGUCACUUAUAGAUGGAUCCGCGCUGCAUUAGCUAGUUGGUAAGGUAACGGCUUACCAAGGUAACGAUGCAUAGCCGACCUGAGAGGGUGAUCGGCCACACUGGAACUGAGACACGGUCCAGACUCCUACGGGAGGCAGCAGUAGGGAAUCUUCCGCAAUGGGCGAAAGCCUGACGGAGCAACGCCGCGUGAGUGAUGAAGGUCUUCGGAUCGUAAAACUCUGUUAUUAGGGAAGAACAUAUGUGUAAGUAACUGUGCACAUCUUGACGGUACCUAAUCAGAAAGCCACGGCUAACUACGUG
rnacentral:rRNA from 1 species